rnacentral:lncRNA from 1 species
AAAAAAAAAAAAAAAAAAAAAUGUGAUUUGCCAAAGAUGGUAAACUCUUUGUUCCCUUACUGAAUUUUGGUUAAUUUAUAAUUGUUAAUGAAAAUAUGAGGCAAAACUGCAUACUCUCAAAUGAUAGUUCACUCUGAUCCACCAGAAAGAGGAAUAAGAAUGAGGCUCAACAUUGUGGGACUAGGCUCCAACCUAAGUGAGUGUUUUAAACUAACUUAGUGUGUUCCUCAUUGAUGACAAUGACCUAUUUGAAGUCUUCCCCUCUUCAUUACACCCUCAGUGAUCCCAAAGGGUCUUAUCUAAUUUGUUUUCUUUGGUAAACUGAAAAUAACUAUGAAUUAAUUUCACUUUAAUUAACACAUAUCUUUGAACAAUUGAGUGUCUCUCUUUAUUUUUAUUAUUUAUUUAUUCAUUCAUUUAUUUAUUUUUGAGACGGAGUUUCGUUCUUGUUCCCCAGGCUGGAGUGCAAUGGGGCCAUCUCGGCUCACUGCACCUCUGCCUUCUGGGUUCAAGCAAUUCUCCUGGCUCAGCUUCCCGAGUAGCUGGAAUUACAGGCACCUGCCACCAGUCUCUUUUAUUUUAAAUACUAGUUUAGUUUAGUUUGAAUGUUUGGUGUAUCCAAACAAUCAAAUCAGCAAACAACACCUGAAUUCCAAGUGUUAAUUUCCAAUUGUUUGCCACUUUUCACAUUGAUAUCACACCAGAAACUACAACACAAUACAUUCCAAAAAAGUUUAACAUUUUUACUCGUAAUUCCCUGCUCUUCUGUCUCUUUCUGUUACUAACACUUUAUUCACCCAGACCCACAGGCUCAAAUCCUUGGAGUUUCCAUUGACUUUUCUCAAGCAAAGCUUACAUUUUAAGUUUAUAAUACUUUCUUCCUACUCUUUUAUAUUCUAAUUCUUUCCUGCUCUUAUGACUACCACUAUGGCAGAGGUCCUCAAGGAGCACAAGAUAAUCUAUUAAGGAAGAAAGAAAUCAUUAGGAUUUCUACAAAAACAACAACAACAAAAAAUCCUUAGGGGAGGGGCCAAGAUGGCUGACUAGAAACAGCUGCAGUCAGAUGCUCCCACUGAGAAAAAUGAAAAUGGCAAGUGAAUCCUGCACCAACAACUGAAGUAUUAGGGUCUCUCACUGGGAUUGACUAGAUGGUUAGCACGACCUAUGGAGAGCGAGGAAAAACAGGGUAGAGUGACAGCCUACCCGGAAGCCACACAGGUAAGGGGAGCUCCCACUUCCCGCCAAGGGAGGCAGUGAGUGAGUGUGCUACCCCACCUGGGAAACCACGUUUUUUUCCAUGGAUCUGUGCAACCCAUGGAUCAGGACAUCUGCCUCGUGAGCCCACGGCACCAGGGCCUUGGGUCCCAAGCACAGAGCUGUGCAGAUUCUCAGUGGCCACUCAGCUGCAGACUGCCUAAGACUAGUGAGUUCCUGGAGUGAAGGGCAUCAGUCCUCAUUGCCUCUGCCUGCUGCCUAAGAUGACUGAGCUCCGCGGGGAAGGGCAGCAGCCAUCACUACAGCUCUAGUCAGCCAUUUUUCCCCUGCUGGCGCUGGGGAGACUGAGUAGUUUGGACCCAGGAGGAAUUCCUCACAGUGCAGCACAGCAGCUGACAGAUGGUGACCAGACUACCUCUUUAGGCUGGACUCUGACCCAUUCCUUCUCACCGGGUGGAGCCUCACUGCAGGAAUUUCAGCAACUCCAGCCAGGAGUUCACAGACAGAACUCUUGAUUUCCCUGGGAAGGAGCCUCAGUGGGGAGGGACGGUCACAGUCUCCAGGGAUCAGCAGUCUUAGUCUUUCCUCCUGCUGGCUCUGAGGAAUCCAGGCACUCCCAAUGAGAGGAAUUCCCCCGAGUGCAGUGUACCCUCACCAAGGGGCAGCCAGAGUGCUUCAUUAAGUGGGUCCCUGAUACCAUGCCUCCUGACUGGGUGAGACCCACCAACAGGGGCCACCAGACACCUUACACAGGACCAUUCCCGCCAGCAUCAGGUUGGUGUCCCUUUGGGACAGAGCUUCCAGAAGAAGGAGCAGGCAGCCAUCUUUGAUAUUCUGCUGCCUCCACUGGUGACAUCGUCAGGUGAAGGAGGGACCCAGCUGAAUUGGGUCUGGAGAGAACUCCCAGCAAACCGCAGCCCUAUAGAAGAGGGGCCUGCCUGGCAGCCACUCCCAGAGCCCCUGGAACUCUGGCCCAAGGCUCUCUGACUGACUCCUUGCCAGAUCUUCUCGGCUUAGCGGCUGAAGACUGACACUGCCCGAUCGCCUCGGAAGCCCCCUAGACCGUCACGGACGCCGAGCUUCGGGUAACUCUCACAGUGGAAGGUAAGCCCGUCCCCUUCUUAA